CACUGGUCGAGUCGGCCUGCGCGGAAGAUGUAACGGGGCUAAACCAUGCACCGAAGCUGCGGCAGCGACACGAUGUGUUGUUGGGUAGGGGAGCGUUCUGUAAGCCUGCGAAGGUGGCCUGUGAGGGUUGCUGGAGGUAUCAGAAGUGCGAAUGCUGACAUAAGUAACGAUAAAGCGGGUGAAAAGCCCGCUCGCCGGAAGACCAAGGGUUCCUGUCCAACGUUAAUCGGGGCAGGGUGAGUCG
rnacentral:rRNA from 1 species